AUUUUUAUUUCAGGUGCAGGAUAUUUCCUCGUCCCUUCAUCAUUGUUAGUGUUCUCAUUAUCGCUGUCAUUGGGAUUUUAGUCAUUCUGGAAACCGUAGGACGUCAAGAGGAAGAGCGCAUCCAGUGAAUUAGAGGAGGAGGAUGCCUUCAAACAGCAGCUGAAUUUUAAACUCUUUUGCUUUUACUAUGAUUUACUCAUUAGCAUGACGCAAGUCUUUAUUGUAAUAGUUUUUAUUUCAU